rnacentral:rRNA from 1 species
GAAAGGAUCAGACGACGCUUGGGGGCCAAACUGCCACUUGUCAUUCCAGAAGGGAGGUUAAGGCCAGAGGCACCUCUUCUUGCUGCAAAGUUUGCAACUGAAUGCAAUGUUACAGUCAGAGGCCAUGUGCCUGUGUUUAAGCACUGGAAGGAUUACAAGGACCCAGAGGGAAAUGUUCGAGAAGGGAUCUUCAAGAACUUUGUAGGCAAAGUUGGUAACAAGUUUGAGAUGGACGUAAAAGCGGUGCCGGUUAGGAAGGCUUGUACACAAAUGUUGAAACGUGCGAUUCGCCAACAACGAUACAGGCUCAAGUAG